rnacentral:rRNA from 1 species
AUAGCGUAUAUUAAAGUUGUUGCAGUUAAAAAGCUCGUAGUUGGAUUUCAAGGGUCGUAGUGUGGACAACACAUUGCACCCUACCAGUCUUUGACUGUUACUGUGAGAAAAUUAGAGUGUUUCAAGCAGGCUAUUGCAGGAAUACAUUAGCAUGGAAUAACGGAUGUAUCUAGAAUCUUGGUUAAUUCUAGAUUACGAUUAAUAGGGACAGUUGGGGGCAUUAGUAUUUAAUUGUCAGAGGUGAAAUUCUUGGAUUUGUUAAAGACUAACGAAUG